rnacentral:rRNA from 1 species
GAUGAACGCUAGCGGCAGGCUUAACACAUGCAAGUCGAGGGGCAGCACGGGUAGCAAUACCUGGUGGCGACCGGCGCAAGGGUGCGUAACGCGUGAGCAACAUGCCCUAUACAGGGGGAUAAUCCAGGGAAACUUGGUCUAAUAUCCCAUAGUAUUUAGAGGUGGCAUCACCACUAAAUUAAAGCUUCGGUGGUAUAGGAUUGGCUCGCGUGACAUUAGCUGGAUGGUGGGGUAACGGCUCACCAUGGCGAUGAUGUCUAGGGGUUCUGAGAGGAAGACCCCCCACACUGGGACUGAGACACGGCCCAGACUCCUACGGGAGGCAGCAGUGAGGAAUAUUGGACAAUGGAUGGAAAUCUGAUCCAGCCAUGCCGCGUGCAGGAAGACGGCCCUAUGGGUUGUAAACUGCUUUUAUAUGGGAGCAAUAAGGUUUACGCGUAGACCGAUGAGAGUACCAUAUGAAUAAGCAUCGGCUAACUCCGUG